AACGAACGCUGGCGGCGUGGAUUAGGCAUGCAAGUCGAACGCGAAAGUAGGAGCAAUCCUACAAGUAGAGUGGCGAACGGGUGAGUAACGCGUGAGAAACCUGCCUUCAACAGGGGGAUAACAUUCCUAACGGGAUGCUAAUACCGCAUGAGACCACGGGAUCGCAUGAUCCUGAGGUCAAAGGUGGCCUCUAUUUAUAAGCUACCGGUUGAAGAUGGUCUCGCGUCCCAUUAGCUAGUUGGCGGUGUAAAAGACCACCAAGGCGACGAUGGGUAGCUGGUCUGAGAGGAUGGUCAGCCACACUGGGACUGAGAUACGGCCCAGACUCCUACGGGAGGCAGCAGUCGAGAGGCUUCGGCAAUGGGGGAAACCCUGACCGAGCGACGCCGCGUGAAGGAUGAAGGCCCUUGGGUUGUAAACUUCUUUUGUCAGCGAAGAAAUGCGAUCAGGUGAAUAAUCUGGUCGCUUGACGGUAGCUGACGAAUAAGCUCC
rnacentral:rRNA from 1 species